rnacentral:rRNA from 1 species
CCCUUAGAUGUUCUGGGCUGCACGCGCGCUACACUGAUGCGCUCAACGAGUUUUAACCUUGCCUGGAAAGGUUGGGUAAUCUUUUUAAAACGCAUCGUGAUGGGGAUAGAUUAUUGCAAUUAUUAAUCUUCAACGAGGAAUUCCUAGUAAGCGCGAGUCAUCAGCUCGUGCUGAUUACGUCCCUGCCCUUUGUACACACCGCCCGUCGCUCCUACCGAUUGAGUGGUCCGGUGAAAUCUCGGGACGGCGGCUUGGUCGCUUGCGUCCGACUGCUGAAACUUGAUUAAACCAUAUCAUUUAGAGGAAGGUGAAGUCGUAACA